rnacentral:tRNA from 1 species
GGGAGUAUAGCUCAGUGGUACAGCAUAUGCUUAACAUGUGCAAGGUCCUGGGUUCAAUCAAUUCCCAGUACCACCA